rnacentral:rRNA from 1 species
CUUGAGGCGUGGCUUCCGGAGCUAACGCGUUAAAUCGACCGCCUGGGGAGUACGGCCGCAAGGUUAAAUCUCAAAUGAAUUGACGGGGGCCCGCACAAGCGGUGGAGCAUGUGGUUUAAUUCGAUGCAACGCGAAGAACCUUUCCUGGUCUUGACAUCCACAGAACUUUCCAGAGAUGGAUUGGUGCCUUCGGGAACUGUGAGACAGGUGCUGCAUGGAUGUCGUCAGCUCGUGUUGUGAAAUGUUGGGUUAAGUC